rnacentral:rRNA from 1 species
ACGCCUAACACAUGCAAGUCGAACGAAGUAGCAAUACUUAGUGGCAGACGGGUGAGUAACAUGUAGGUAUCUGCCCUUUGGCCUGGAAUAACACGAGGAAACUUGUGCUAAUACUGGAUAAGUCUUUACGGAGAAAGCUUUAUGCACCAUUGGAUGAGCCUGCACUUGAUUAGUUUGUUGGUGGGGUAAUGGCCUACCAAGACUGUGAUCAAUAGCUGAUUUGAGAGGAUGAUCAGCCACAUUGGGACUGAGACACGGCCCAAACUCCUACGGGAGGCAGCAGUGGGGAAUCUUGCACAAUGGAGGAAACUCUGAUGCAGCGAUGCCGCGUGAGUGAAGAAGGCCUUUGGGUUGUAAAGCUCUUUCGUCGGGGAAGAAAAUGACUGUACCCGAAUAAGAAGGUCCGGCUAACUUCGUGCCAGCAGCCGCGGUAAUACGAAGGGACCUAGCGUAGUUCGGAAUUACUGGGCUUAAAGAGUUCGUAGGUGGUUGAAAAAGUUGGUGGUGAAAUCCCAGAGCUUAACUCUGGAACUGCCAUCAAAACUUUUUAGCUAGAGUAUGAUAGAGGAAAGCAGAAUUUCUAGUGUAGAGGUGAAAUUCGUAGAUAUUAGAAAGAAUACCAAUUGCGAAGGCAGCUUUCUGGAUCAUUACUGACACUGAGGAACGAAAGCAUGGGUAGCGAAGAGGAUUAGAUACCCUCGUAGUCCAUGCCGUAAACGAUGUGUGUUAGACGUUGGAAAUUUAUUUUCAGUGUCGCAGCGAAAGCGAUAAACACACCGCCUGGGGAGUACGAC